rnacentral:lncRNA from 1 species
UCAAGAUAUAGUCAAAUGUCUUUAUCCCUAACUUUUGCGGGGAUUUUUUUUUUCUUUUGUCCAUCGGGAUGCCAUUUUUUCCUAAGUUACCCUUUCAGGUUUUCAACUUAGCGGGAUUAUAUAUUUUUGUUUAAUCCCUAACUUUUGUAUGGACAUUUCUUUUUUUUGGGUCCAUCGAGAAAUCCAUUUUUGCCUAGAUUGGGUCUGACAAGUACCAAUCUAGCGGGCUUUGUAUUC